rnacentral:rRNA from 1 species
UACGGAGGGUGCAAGCGUUGUCCGGAUUUAUUGGGUUUAAAGGGUGCGUAGGCGGCCCUGUAAGUCAGUGGUUGAAAUACUGCAAGCUUGAACUGUAGCAUUGCCAUUGAUACUGUAGGGCUUGAGUACAGAUGAGGUAGGCGGAAUUGAUGGUGUAGCGGUGAAAUGCAUAGAUACCAUCAAGAACACCGAUUGCGGAAGGCAGC